rnacentral:rRNA from 1 species
CGGCGUGCCUAACACAUGCAAGUCGAGCGGAGAUGAUGUGAGGAAGUUUUCGGAUGGAAUCACAUUAUUUAGCGGCGGACGGGUGAGUAACGCGUGAGCGACCAACCUUGCACAGGGGGAUAACGGACCGAAAGGUUCACUAAUACCGCAUGAGACCACGGUGUUGCAUGACACAGGGGUCAAAGGAGCAAUCCGGUGCAAGACGGGCUCGCGUCCGAUUAGGUAGUUGGUGGGGUAAUGGCCCACCAAGCCUAUGAUCGGUAGCCGACCUGAGAGGGUGAUCGGCCACAUUGGAACUGAGAUACGGUCCAAACUCCUACGGGAGGCAGCAGUGGGGAAUAUUGGGCCAAUGGGGGAAACCCUGACCCAGCAACGCCGCGUGAAGGAAGAAGGUUUUCGGAUUGUAAACUUCUGUCCUUGGUGAAGAGAAGAAGACGGUAGCCAAGGAGGAAGCCCCGGCUAACUACGUGCCAGCCGCCGC